rnacentral:rRNA from 1 species
AGUGAACGCUGGCGGUAGGCCUAACACAUGCAAGUCGAACGGCAGCACAGUAGGAGCUUGCUCUUACGGGUGGCGAGUGGCGGACGGGUGAGGAAUACAUCGGAAUCUACUUUUUCGUGGGGGAUAACGUAGGGAAACUUACGCUAAUACCGCAUACGACCUACGGGUGAAAGCAGGGGAUCUUCGGACCUUGCGCGAUUGAAUGAGCCGAUGUCGGAUUAGCUAGUUGGCGGGGUAAAGGCCCACCAAGGCGACGAUCCGUAGCUGGUCUGAGAGGAUGAUCAGCGACACUGGAACUGAGACACGGUCCAGACUCCUACGGGAGGCAGCAGUGGGGAAUAUUGGACAAUGGGCGCAAGCCUGAUCCAGCCAUACCGCGUGGGUGAAGAAGGCCUUCGGGUUGUAAAGCCCUUUUGUUGGGAAAGAAAAGCAGCAGGUUAAUACCCCGCUGUUCUGACGGUACCCAAAGAAUAAGCACCGGCUAACUUCGUG